AUAAAUGAGAACAUGAUGUUGGUUCAGAUCAAAUGCUAUGUAGAGGCAUUACACAUGCAAGUUAUAUGAUUUAGUUUCACCCGUGAGGGAGGAUAUAAAUCAAUAAAUAUAGCGUUCAGGUGAGUGAUAUUGUAUAUAACAAAUAUACAUUCAGAUGUAGGUAUUAGAUAUAAAUCUAGCCAUCGAACUGGAGCCGGCGAUUUUCGUCACAACGGCCACAUUGACACAAGUCAACUCUUAUUAGGAGCAGCAGUGGGGAAUCUUUGACAAUGGUCUAACGACUGAUCAAGCUAUCUACGAGAAGGAUAUUAUUAAUGAUUUCUAAUUAAUUUUAAAAAUUAUAUUUUUAUAAAGAUCGGCUUACGCCGGCCUUUAUAUACAUAAAUAAUAAAAGGUAUAACUAUAAACUUCUAAACAUAUAUAAUAAUGAUAUAUAUGUGACAGAGUCCUAACUAAAACAUGUGCCAGCAGCUGCGGUUAGACAUGGAGGGCUAGCAUUGUUCAGAAUGGCUUAAAGUACCUGUAGAACUUUUUAUAUUAUAUAUAAAAUAGAAUAAACUUGUUUUUAUAAAAAAUAAAAGCAUAAAGGUGAUUAGAAAUAAAGUUAGAGAGAUGAAAUACAGCGAAAACAUUAUGACUGCAGAAAUAUCACUUAAGUUUAUUGACGUUGUGAGGUGAAGGCUACGGGCGCAACAUGGAUUCGAUACCCAUUUAGUCGUAGCAGUAAACUAUGAAUACAAUAAUAGAAAAAUUAAAAUGAAUAGUAUUCCGCCUGACUAGUACGCUCGCAAGGGUGAAAUACAAGACAUUAGACGGUUGUAGUCACGAGCAGUGGAACAUGUCGUUUAAUUGGAUAAUCCUCCUAAAAUCUUACCAUCUUUUGAAUAUUUUACAGGCGUUACAUCGUUGUCGUCAGUUCAUGCCGUGAGGUUUAAUAUUUAGUUAUUUAAUGAACGUAAUCCCUUAUAUUUUAUAUUAAGCAUUGUUGAGAAACAAUGGGAAGUAGGGGCCGAAGACUAAUCAUGAUGACCCUUAUAAGAUGGGCUAUAGACGUGUUACGAUGUUAUUGACAAUUAUAAAUAUAUUUACAUAUAUUUUUUAAACAAUAAGAUUAAGACAUAGAUACUUUCAUGGAUUGUAGUCUGAAAUUCGACUACAUGAAGGAGGAAUUGCUAGUAAUCGCGAACUAGAGAGUCGCGGUGAAAUUCUUAACUACUUCGUACUAACCACUCAUCAACAGCAAGAAGCUUUUACUUUCCUGUAAAAGAUCAUUUGAUCUUUUUGAUUGGUUUGUUUACACGUGACCUGCUGUAAGUUGAAAUACGGUUCGGUUAGGGGAACCUGAUCGGGAUUUAUUACUUUU
rfam:Debaryomyces hansenii mitochondrion, complete genome.